AGAGUUUUAGCGUGCUCGAUAUUCAUUCGGGAUAACAUCUACCUAAGUGGCAUUGUCGGAGCAGCAAUGAAGAAAAAGGUAUCAUAUAUAUACAAGAUAAGAUAAGACAAAAAUUCUGGAGAUCCUUUAAACACACACUGUGAGUGUCCAGCAGGGAAGGGGCCUCAUUGACGCUGCAGACACAUUGCUGCAGUUCUCCUGAUGAUAAAAGAGUUUGCAGAAUCAGGAAAACUCAAACUAGGGAAGUCUUGCACUGAUACAUUAAUGAUGUUUACAAAACCAAAAUCCUCCUAUGAUGGAUCUCCAGUCAAAGCUGAAAAGCUGCCAACCAAGAGAAAGCUAGCUGUAGACUUCCUCAGUGACCCAAGGCCUGAGAAAAGAAGAAACUGUUCUGGUUACAAUUACUUUGUACAAUCUUUACUUACCAAUUAUUGCAGGCAGUCCUCAAAUGAUAUCUCAU